AAUUCGCCCUUAGAGUUUGAUCCUGGCUCAGAUUGAACUCUGGCGGCAGGCCUAACACAUGCAAGUCGAACGGUAACAGGAAGCAGCUUGCUGCUUCGCUGACGAGUGGCGGACGGGUGAGUAAUGUCUGGGAAACUGCCUGAUGGAGGGGGAUAACUACUGGAAACGGUAGCUAAUACCGCAUAACGUCGCAAGACCAAAGAGGGGGACCUUCGGGCCUCUUGCCAUCGGAUGUGCCCAGAUGGGAUUAGCUUGUUGGUGGGGUAACGGCUCACCAAGGCGACGAUCCCUAGCUGGUCUGAGAGGAUGACCAGCCACAUUGGAACUGAGACACGGUCCAGACUCCUACGGGAGGCAGCAGUGGGGAAUAUUGCACAAUGGGGGAAACCCUGAUGCAGCAACGCCGCGUGAGUGAUGAAGGUCUUCGGAUUGUAAAGCUCUGUCUUUAGGGACGAUAAUGACGGUACCUAAGGAGGAAGCCACGGCUAACUACGUGCCAGCAGCCGCGGUAAUACGUAGGUGGCAAGCGUUAUCCGGAUUUACUGGGCGUAAAGGGAGCGUAGGCGGAUAUUUAAGUGGGAUGUGAAAUACCCGAGCUUAACUUGGGAGCUGCAUUCCAAACUGGAUAUCUAGAGUGCAGGAGAGGAGAAUGGAAUUCCUAGUGUAGCGGUGAAAUGCGUAGGGAUUAGGAAGAACACCAGUGGCGAAGGCGAUUCUCUGGACUGUAACUGACGCUGAGGCUCGAAAGCGUGGGGAGCAAACAGGAUUAGAUACCCUGGUAGUCCACGCCGUAAACGACGAAUACUAGGUGUAGGGGCCCCAAGCCUCUGUGCCGCCGCUAACGCAUUAAGUAUUCCGCCUGGGGAGUACGGUCGCAAGAUUAAAACUCAAAGGAAUUGACGGGGACCCGCACAAGCAGCGGAGCAUGUGGUUUAAUUCGAAGCAACGCGAAGAACCUUACCUAGACUUGACAUGUCCUGAAUUACCAGUAAUGUGGGAAGUUCCUUCGGGAACAGGAACACAGGUGGUGCAUGGUUGUCGUCAGCUCGUGUCGUGAGAUGUUGGGUUAAGUCCCGCAACGAGCGCAACCCUUAUUGUUAGUUGGUACCAUUAAGUUGACCACUCUAGCGAGACUGCCCGGGUUAACCGGGAGGAAGGUGGGGAUGACGUCAAAUCAUCAUGCCCCUUAUGUCUAGGGCUACACACGUGCUACAAUGGCAAGUACAAAGAGAAGCAAUACUGUGAAGUGGAGCAAAACUCAAAAACUUGUCUCAGUUCGGAUUGUAGGCUGAAACUCGCCUACAUGAAGCUGGAGUUGCUAGUAAUCGCGAAUCAGAAUGUCGCGGUGAAUACGUUCCCGGGUCUUGCACACACCGCCCGUCA
rnacentral:rRNA from 1 species